GUCCACGCCGUAAACUAUGGGUGCUAGCUGUUACACGUAUCGACCCGUGUAGUAGCGAAGCUAACGCGUUAAGCACCCCGCCUGGGGAGUACGGUCGCAAGAUUAAAACUCAAAGGAAUUGACGGGGACCCGCACAAGCGGUGGAGCGUGUUGUUUAAUUCGAUGGUAAACGAAGAACCUUACCAAGGUUUGACAUCCUGCGAAGCACUGCGAAAGCAGAGUGUGCCUUUUGGAACGCAGUGACAGGUGUUGCAUGGCCGUCGU
rnacentral:rRNA from 1 species